rnacentral:rRNA from 1 species
CUCGGGUGUUAACCUGUACGCGCAAGUAACCUAACUUUUGGUGGGACGAUUUUCUUUUCUUAAAUUUUCUGCACCAUCGACCGACCAUGUUGCUUUUGCGAAAGGUUUGACUGCGAGCAUACCUGUUGGGACCCGAAAGAUGGUGAACUAUGCCUGACCAGGGCGAAGCCAGAGGAAACUCUGGUGGAGGCUCAUAUAUGUGCUGACAUGCAAAUCGCUUUUCGGACUUGGGUAUAGGGGGGAAAGACUAAUCGAACCAUCUAGUAGCUGGUUCCUUCCGAAUCGAUUGUCAGAAUUGGGCAUAGGGGCGAAAGACCAAUCGAACCAUCUAGUAGCUGUUUCCUUCCGAA